GGGACCAAGGAGGGGAAAGACAGGGCAAAGGCCUCAGAUCUGCAGCCAGGACACCUACGACAGAGCCCCCUGAGGAAGCAGUUUCAACAGAAAAAUGAGGGUGAAACCAGAACAGAAAAUUCUACUGGACAGAGCGAGGACCCCACCACAGUUUCUUAUGGGAAGGAUGACCCAUAUGGUGGAGUAAGGGUUGGGGCGGAUUAAGGAAGGACCAAAGACGCUGGAGAAGAGGAAUAACAAACGCAGCCAGUUCCCAAAAGAGGGCACCUAAGAGGUUUUAACCUGUGCAUCUUAAGAAGCCAUUCUCCGGACCACCGACUGCUUGCUCCAUAAUCUUCCAGACAACGAUAACAUUUCUUAUCACUUUAGGAGCCAAUUAAUGGAAACCCCUCCUAGAAUAAACAUGGUUAAGCUUUGCAUCU